GUAGGUGGCAAGCGUUGUCCGGAAUUAUUGGGCGUAAAGUGCGCGCAGGCGGUUCUUUAGGUCUGAUGUGAAAGCCCACGGGCUCAACCGUGGAGGGUCAUUGGAAACUGGAGAACUUGAGUACAGAAGAGGAAAGCGGAAUUCCACGUGUAGCGGUGAAAUGCGUAGAGAUGCGGAGGAACACCAGUGGCGAAGGCGGCUUUCUGGUCUGUAACUGACGCUGAGGCGCGAAAGCGUGGGGAGCAAACAGGAUUAGAUACCCUGGUAGUCCACGCCGUAAACGAUGAGUGCUAAGUGUUAGGGGGUUUCCGCCCCUUAGUGCUGCAGCUAACGCAUUAAGCACUCCGCCUGGGGAGUACGGCCGCAAGGCUG
rnacentral:rRNA from 1 species